rnacentral:rRNA from 1 species
ACGAACGCUGGCGGCGUGCCUAAUCCAUGCAAGUCGCACGAGAGCGACCGGUGCUUGCACUGGUCAAUCUAGUGGCGAACGGGUGAGUAACACGUGGGUAACCUGCCCAUCAGAGGGGGAUAACAUUCGGAAACGGAUGCUAAAACCGCAUAGGUCUUCGAACCGCAUGGUUUGAAGAGGAAAAGAGGCGCAAGCUUCUGCUGAUGGAUGGACCCGCGGUGCAUUAGCUAGUUGGUGAGGUAACGGCUCACCAAGGCCGUGAUGCAUAGCCGACCUGAGAGGGUGAUCGGCCACAUUGGGACUGAGACACGGCCCAAACUCCUACGGGAGGCAGCAGUAGGGAAUCUUCCGCAAUGGACGCAAGUCUGACGGAGCAACGCCGCGUGAGUGAAGAAGGUUUUCGGAUCGUAAAACUCUGUUGUUAGAGAAGAACAAGUGCUAGAGUAACUGUUAGCGCCUUGACGGUAUCUAACCAGAAAGCCACGGCUAACUACGUG